GAAGUGUUAUUAGGCUGCACGCUGGCUUUGUGGAAGAGGGGUGCAGAAUCUGUGACUUGCCUUGAGAGAGAACAAUUCUGGCUCUUACGGUUUACCCCACGAGAGAAGGAGGUGUGGCAGUAGGGAGGAUUUAUACAACUUCUUAACCCUGGGGACCUCAGAUCCCAGGAGACAAGGAGGUGCUUCCUUCCUCGGGGCGGCCAGGAGGUGUCCUAAGCCAGUGAGCAACACAGAGACUGCUUAACUUCACACCAAGCCGAAAAGGAACAUUCGUACUCUUCAUCCCAAGCUCAAGGGAAGUCACACACACACACACAGUCACGUCCAAGUCCAGAAGAACAGGGUUGACUGGAGCAGUUGGUGGUGAAGGCUAGUAGCCUCUGCCACACAGGUGCCUGUUUUAGCUUUGAUGAACACGUGAAGAACCUGAAGCAAACAAUGGGGUGAAGUCAUCUGCCCAAGGUCGCACACCUGGUAAGUGGUUGAUGCAAGAUUUAGACAUGCCCUUUGUAGA